rnacentral:rRNA from 1 species
CGGAAGGUAUGCUUAAAGAGGGGCUUGCGUCACAUUAGUUAGUUGGCAGGGUAAAGGCCUACCAAGACUAUGAUGUGUAGCUGGACUGAGAGGUUGAACAGCCACAUUGGGACUGAGACACGGCCCAAACUCCUACGGGAGGCAGCAGUAGGGAAUUUUCGGCAAUGGAGGAAACUCUGACCGAGCAACGCCGCGUGAACGAUGAAGUAUUUCGGUAUGUAAAGUUCUUUUAUUGAAGAAGAAAAAAUAGUGGAAAAACUAUCUUGACGAUAUUCAAUGAAUAAGCCCCGGCAAACUAUGUGCCAGCAGCCGCGGUAAUACAUAGGGGGCGAGCGUUAUCCGGAAUUAUUGGGCGUAAAGGGUGCGUAGGCGGUUUAAUAAGUCUAUAGUUUAAUUUCAGUGCUUAACACUGUCCUGCUAUAGAAACUAUUAGACUAGAGUGAGAUAGAGGCAAGUGGAAUUCCAUGUGUAGCGGUAAAAUGCGUAAAUAUAUGGAGGAACACCAGAGGCGUAGGCGGCUUGCUGGGUCUUUACUGACGCUGAGGCACGAAAGCGUGGGGAGCAAACAGGAUUAGAUACCCUGGUAGUCCACGCCGUAAACGAUGAGUACUAAGUGUCGGGAUUACUCGGUACUGAAGUUAACACAUUAAGUACUCCGCCUGAGUAGUACGUACGCAAGUAUGAAACUUAAAGGAAUUGACGGGACUCCGCACAAGCGGUGGAUCAUGUUGUUUAAUUCGAAGAUACACGAAAAACCUUACCAGGUCUUGACAUACUCUGCAAAGCUAUAGCAAUAUAGUGGAGGUUAUCAGGGAUACAGGUGGUGCAUGGUUGUCGUCAGCUCGUGUCGUGAGAUGUUAGGUUAAGUCCUAAAACGAGCGCAACCCUUGUCAUUAGUUGCCAGCAUGUCAUGAUGGGCACUUUAAUGAGACUGCCAAUGAAAAAUUGGAGGAAGGUGAGGAUCACGUCAAAUCAUCAUGCCCCUUAUGAUCUGGGCUACAAACGUGAUACAAUGGCUGUUACAAAGAGUAGCUGAAACGCAAGUUUAUAGCCAAUCUCAUAAAAGCAGUCUCAGUU